rnacentral:pre_miRNA from 1 species
AGUGGUAUAACUGGGUCAAAGGUGGUUCUGUUCCUAGUUUUCUGAGGAAUAUCCAUACUACUUUCCAGAUUGGUUGCACCAAUUUGCAGUCUCAUCAGCAAU